rnacentral:lncRNA from 1 species
GUGGAGUAUAAAGCUGGCCGUGAGGGUUAGGAGGUGACUUUUCAUCUGGAAGGUGUUUCUAAUAACCUUUCACCUUGGGACAGGUUGGAGUUGUGACGCCCAAGGGUACGUGAAGAUGGAUAAAAUUUUCCAUUUGAAAACCAUAAGCAAAGAUCUGCACAGGUCCAACCUGGUCAAUCAUCUUCCUGUCCUGAGUGUGGAGCCAGGGAAGUCAUCAACCCACCUCGGUCAGAAGACCAUGAAGGGAGGUGCGGGGAAUACGGAUGAAAAAGGAAAGAAAGGAACACCGACGGCCCGCGGCUCACAUGCUAUAACAAAGCAAAGAGGGGAAAACGUCGUCCCACGGAAUCCAGGCAGAAAAUCCAGAGAAGACCUCUUCCCCAGUGAAGACGUCUUCUGCAGUAUUGAUGCCCGAGUUGUCCGGGCUGGAGAAGAGCUGAGGAGCCAAAAGAUCUUCUCAGUAGAAGCGGUCACCCGGGUCAUCACUCAAGGAGCCGCCAAUGACUUGCAGAAGUUACGGUGCAUCUGGGUCUGGAUCUGUCACAACAUCGAGUACGACGUCAGCGGGUACCUGGGCCUGUCAGAAAAGCUCUGCUCUCCUGAACGGGUCAUGGAAGCCGGCCGAGGGGUGUGCAGCGGAUACUCCGGCAUCUGCCGCCAAAUGUGCAGGUGAGACCAAAACGCCAGAGAACUGGACUGUGGAUCUUCAAGUAAAGAAUGCUGACCUUGAACUUCC